rnacentral:rRNA from 1 species
GAUGAACGCUGGCGGCGUGCUUAACACAUGCAAGUCGAACGGAAAGGCCCAAGCUUGCUUGGGUCCUCGAGUGGCGAACGGGUGAGUAACACGUGGGUGAUCUGCCCCGCACUUCGGGAUAAGCCUGGGAAACUGGGUCUAAUACCGGAUAGGACCACUUCUUGGAGGUUGUGGUGGAAAGUUUUUUCGGUGUGGGAUGAGCUCGCAGCCUAUCAGCUUGUUGGUGGGGUAAUGGCCUACCAAGGCGUCGACGGGUAGCCGGCCUGAGAGGGUGUACGGCCACAUUGGGACUGAGAUACGGCCCAGACUCCUACGGGAGGCAGCAGUGGGGAAUAUUGCACAAUGGGCGCAAGCCUGAUGCAGCGACGCCGCGUGGGGGAUGACGGCCUUCGGGUUGUAAACUCCUUUCGCUAGGGACGAAGCGCAAGUGACGGUACCUAGAGAAGAAGCACCGGCUAACUACGUG